AGGAGACAGAGCUCCAGCCUCCGCUAACUAUGGAUCUGAAGACAGGCAAGAGAGCAGAUAAGAGGCGAUGACAGAGCACAUGGGCCUGUGGCAUGCUGCCCAUCAGGUUGUCUUGGCUAUUUUGCUGGACCAUCCCUGUAAGGCUGCUCUGCCCUGCUCCUCUCUGCCUCCAGCAGUGCUAUUAAAGGAAGGAGGGAGCUGUGGAUUCCUGCAGUCUCUGGUCAGGUAUAACUUCCUUCCUAGCUCGCGACUAAUGAGAAAGGCUUCACCUCUUCUCCAAACCUUCUUGCCUGUUUAUUUAUAGAGGCUAGUAUCCAGACAGUAUGGGUUAUGCUUCAAACCAGACUUGGUCCUAGGCUGGAGGUUGGUCCAGCUCAGCUACAUAGUAGAGUUUUUGUUGGGUGGAGGCAUCUUAGUGUCCUGCCUGGGACAUAAUAUCUUGCCUCUAAAUACAUGGUCUGCCCUGCAGGAUAAGGUGAUUCUCAGCAUGAGCGAGGCUGGUGGAACUGGGCUUAUAAAAAUAUCUGAGCGGGGGAAGAAAAUAACUACUGUUUUCCAAGAAGAUGCGUUUUUCUAUUUUAAUUCUUGUAAGGCCGUGAUAAAAUAAAUGUUGUCUAUGAUGUAAAGCUGAAGGGUUGACCAGAACUUCCUUUGUGGUCAAGCUCUUUUUUUAUUGAUUGAUUUUAAGUCCUCUAAAUUUGUCAGGCUCACAAGUGCAGCGGUGACUUAAGUUAUAAGAGAAUGUUUGUGUCCUUAAGGAAAAAUACUGCACCCCUUCCUCCCUCUCACCCUUCUCAACCUUGCAAAGAAACCUACACUUGGCCAGAAUAUUUUUUUCACCCUCAGUGGAAAAUGUAAAUUAAAUAUUCAGGGGGGGAAAAAAAAUCAACAACAAAAAAACCCCACCCAAACUCAAUUUAAACCCCCCAGGCUCCUAAAUGCAAGGAAUUCAUGAUGGGCUGAACAGUGGCAUUUUGGUGGAUUUUAUUUAUUUAUUUAUUUUGGUAAAAGCUGAAAUCUUUAGGAGAAAUAUAUUAAAACAAACAAACAAACAAAACACUUCUCUGUUGAUAAAAAGAGGCACAUCUUUAAGGAUUUCUAUAAGAACUGUCCUGCAGUUGAGCUGGAUAAGCAAAACCACUUGGCUGUGUUUUUCUUUGCUACUCUUUUCUUCCUGAACCACAAAUGAUUUUGAUUCAGCUUUUCAGUCAUUCUCCGCACUAGGACAGACAUCAGGGUCUGAUCUGGGAUCUUUUGAGUGGUUGAGUGCAGCCCUGUCACACUGUAUGGAUACUGCUGCUGCUGCCAGCCUGAGGGGUCUGGUGUCAGGAUCUCUCUGCACUCUUGGAGUAUCUCUCUGCUUUUUCAGUGGAGUAAAUGUCCUCCUCUUAUUGCUCCCCACUGCUGUACCACUUUGCUGCUGACUCAGGUUUGUUCUGCACUGAGCAAGUGUGUUAUGUGCAGAAGUACAAAAUAUGAAGUGGUCAGGUGAGAUGCCCAGAUUAUGGCAAGUCAGUGACCUGAACAACAAAGCUCAGCUGAACUCCAUGAGAUGAGGCUGCAGAGUGCUCAGCCCUCAAACAAACUGUGAUUACUCACCUAACUUCAGAAUCCUCAUGUACUUGCAUAGCUGGCUUUUGAGUAUAGAAAUGCAUGGAAUCCAGAGUUAUGAAAUGAAGUCCAGGUAAGAG